UUAGCACAUUAUUUUCUUAAAUUACAAAGUAUCUUGCAAAACUGUUUGUUUCUUGGUAAAACAAAAACAGAACAUAAUACUUUUGGAAAUACUCUUCUGAUAAGGCGAUUAUGAAUCCAAGCAAAUAAAAAGUUGUUCAGUAAGCAUGUUUUAUUUUUUUUCUUUACAAAAUAAAUGGUAAAAUAUUAAACUUGUUGAUAGAUAAAUAAAGUGCCAGUUUUUUUUCUGCAGGUGUUAAACAAGAGGGGAGCAGGAUUAGGAAAAGCUUGUUGCUUAAGGUGCAAACAGAACUCAUGACAACUGCAACAAUAAAUGAAGUCAAUAAUAUAACAAACUGCAUUUGCAUGAUACGUUUGUUUUGUAUGUUUUUUUUAACAAGCUCAAUCACACAAAUAGUAAAUUAGCCAAUUAUGUGGCAACGACAAAAUUAAUACUUGUAUUAUUAAAGUUACUUUCUACAAACUCCUCUGAAUAUCCCUGAACAUUUUAAAAGAACGUGUCCUUUUUUAUUUAUUCUUUUUUUAUUUUAUUUCAUUGUUUAAUCAUUUUUUCAUCACACUUGAAAUGAAGCCAAAAUGAUUUCUAAUGAAUU